GACGAACGCUGGCGGCGUGCCUAAUACAUGCAAGUAGAACGCUGACUACUUUAGCUUGCUAGAGUAGAAGGAGUUGCGAACGGGUGAGUAACGCGUAGGUAACCUGCCUACUAGCGGGGGAUAACUAUUGGAAACGAUAGCUAAUACCGCAUAACAGUGUUUAACACAUGUUAGAUGCUUGAAAGAUGCAAUUGCAUCACUAGUAGAUGGACCUGCGUUGUAUUAGCUAGUUGGUGGGGUAACGGCCCACCAAGGCGACGAUACAUAGCCGACCUGAGAGGGGGAUCGGCCACACUGGGACUGGGACGCGGCCCAGACUCCUACGGGAGGCAGCAGUAGGGAAUCUUCGGCAAUGGGGGCAACCCUGACCCAGCAACGGCGCGUGAGUGAAGAAGGUUUUCGGAUCGUAAAGCUCUGUUGUAAGGGAAGAACGUGUGUGAGAGUGGAAAGUUCACACAGUGACGGUAACUUACCAGAAAGGGACGGCUAACUACGUGCCAGCCGCCGCUGUAA
rnacentral:rRNA from 1 species